rnacentral:snRNA from 1 species
ACACUUAUUAGGCAGGAAGAACCAAGAUGAGGCUUAUCCAUUGCACUCCUGAUGUGCUCACCAACAUGAUUUUCCCAAAUGCCAGAAACUGGACUGCAUAAUUUGUUGGGGACUUUGUUCCCACUUUCCCCUG